CCUGCCGGGCCGCCCCGGGGGCAGCGGGAGGUGGCCCGGCUGCAGCCUCGGACCGCAGGACCCCGGCUCGCGGUUUUACCCAGUUUUAGGAUUUUGCUUGACAUACUUGCGAGCUCCGUGACCGUGUUUCCCCAGAGCCCAGGGAAAGGAUGCAGGCGUCGGGAAGGAGGUUUCCCAGGACGCGAGGAGCGGGCGAAGGCAGGAACCCGUGCCCGGCUCGUGGGAGCCUCGGGGACUCGGCACCGCAGCUCCCGCUGAACCGCUGCUCCAGUGGGAACUGAUUAGGAGGGGCCUUAAUAUUUUCACAAAAGGCCGGCAAUUAGGACAUGUCUACAACACGCUGGAGAAAACUGCCUGAGGCUUCAGCUGCUUUUUGAAUGCCAGGCAGCACGGGAAAGACCUUUUCACACGCACCAGAGAUGGAGCCCCAGGAAUGAAGCCCAGCUUGGCGGAGGCAGCACCUAGGAGCCCUCCUGCACAAGCGCAGUGAGGUGGGCUGUGUGCUGCCUGGGGUGAAAGAGACCCCGCCGAGCUGCUGGCACAGACACUGGGUGACAUGCCGCUGGGCCCAAACUGCCUGUACUGUGAGAUGAAAAUGUGAAAAUGUGAAAAUGACCUCCACACCAGGUCAGAGAAUGACAAGGAUUACCUCUUCCCUCCCCUUAAAAUGUUCUUUUUCCAUGUACUGCAGCCUGCAUGAUGGUGACUACAACUUGCUGAGAUUUUUUGCUUUCUGGUUUUUAAUUUUCUUUUUUUAUUUGUAAAGAAUCUUGGAUGACCAGACUGUGGGUGAUUUAUGUGCAUCUCGGAGUCCUGCUCCAUAAGCAAAGUCAGUAUCUGUUCCUGUGGAACAAGUUGGUGCUGAUUGUGAGCAAGACCGAGAGUCUGACCUCAAGCAUCAUAGCAAAAACUUUAUGCUAGGCUUCGAGGGAAGUGAGCACUAGGAGAAGCAGAAGUGUUAGCAACUGUUGUUUCUUGAUUUGGAGGUUGCAUGAAGGGAGAGGAUCUCUCAAAGUCGAUGAGAGGCUAUGAGUCAGAGCAGGCUGACUCGAUUUGCUGCAAGAAAUGCCUGUGCUCUCUUGUCCAACUUGUCCUGCUCCCAGCCCUGCUGGAACUGUGUAUGAUGAUGCUAAGUUAUUUACCAUGUCUCCUCGGGCAGCCUCCAGAGCUAAUAGAUUUUGUCUUUUGAUAACAUUUCCUACAGACUAUACAAAAUAAACAGCAGAGGUCCCGAUGGGGAGAGAGAAGCUUUGCAGACCUAGCAAGCUCUGACCAUACUCACAGAAAGGAAAUUCUCACUGUGACUAAGGGGCCAUGCUGGUAUGAAAUAAAACACUUUUCAGUGGUGAGGCACUGCUGAGUGAGCUAGAAGACAGUCUGACAUCCAGCAUUUCAGUUUCUCAUGUUUAGUAUUUAGUCAGUUUGUCAGAAACAGAGUAACCAUGAGGGUCAGACAUAAGUAUAUAGAGUCCAUUACUAUAGGAACAAUAUUAAGGAUACAUUACUGCAACACUUGGGAAUAAUACCUUGGAAUGAAGAAAAACAAAUGAAAGAAUGAAAAAUUUUAACACAUACUUAAUUUUUAUUGAUAUGGACUAUUUUUAUCAAUAAAUUUUAUAAAUAUAA